GAUCAUUAAAUAAACA
rnacentral:rRNA from 1 species